AUUGAACGCUGGCGGCAGGCCUAAUACAUGCAAGUCGAACGUGUCGCGGACGGGUGUGUAAUGUCUGGGAAAUUGCCUGUUGGAGGGGGAUAACUUCUGGAAACGGUAGUCAUUACCGCUCACCAUCGGAUGUGCACAGAUGGGCUUAGCUAGUAGGUGGGGUAAAGGCUCACCUAGGCCACGAUCCCUAGCUGGUCUGAGGGGAUGACCAGCCACACUGGAGGUAGGACCCGCUCCAAACACCUACGGAAGGCACCGGAGGGGAAUAUUGCACAAGGGGCUCGAGCCUAAUGCGACCAUGCCGCGUAUAUAAAGAAGGCCUUCGAGUUGAAAAGUACUUUCAGCGGGAGGGCGUUACCCACAGAAGAAGCACCGGCUAACUCCGUGCCAGCAGCCGCGGUAAUUC
rnacentral:rRNA from 1 species